UACGUAGGGCGCAAGCGUUGUCCGGAAUUAUUGGGCGUAAAGAGCUCGUAGGCGGCUUGUCACGUCGGGUGUGAAAGCCCGGGGCUUAACCCCGGGGCUGCAUUCGAUACGGGCUGGCUAGAGUGUGGUAGGGGAGAUCGGAAUUCCUGGUGUAGCGGUGAAAUGCGCAGAUAUCGGGAGGAACACCGGUGGCGAAGGCGGAUCUCUGGGCCAUUACUGACGCUGAGGAGCGAAAGCGUGGGGAGCGAACAGG
rnacentral:rRNA from 1 species